CGGGGUGUAGUUUACCGGUAGAAUGGGCGCAUGGGGUGCGUCCGGACUGGGUUCAAUUCCCAGCACCCCGACAA
rnacentral:tRNA from 5 species